CGAAAGGCGUAGUCGAUGGGAAACGGGUUAAUAUUCCCGUACUUCUUACAAUUGCGAUGGGGGGACGGAGAAGGCUAGGUGGGCCUGGCGACGGUUGUCCAGGUUCAAGUGUGUAGGCUGAGAAAUUAGGUAAAUCCGGUUUCUCUUAAGGCUGAGACACGACGUCGAGCUACUACGGUAGUGAAGUCAUUGAUGCCAUGCUUCCAGGAAAAGCCUCUAAGCU
rnacentral:rRNA from 1 species